rnacentral:lncRNA from 1 species
CGUUACUAAAACAGCAAGCAAUCACCCGGUAUGGCAGCUGCAGAACCGCUUUAAAUACAUGAAUGGAAGAUAUAUCGUUCUUUCACGGGGAGAUAUUGAAAACCGUCCGUAUUAAGUUUUUCAGAAAUUCCUUCCGUGGUAAGUAGCCUCAACAUUUUAUAGUAACUACCAAUACACGAUACCAUCUACAGUUCUACACGCAUGCUAAUCCAACGGCCAUCCUUCGCCUGACGGCCAAACCGACCUAAAAAGGAUAGCGUAAUCACCGUUCAAAAUCUCGAAUUAAAUUCUCUAAAAAACAAUAACCUCCAAGUUUUACUCGCUUGUCUAUCCAUAUAUCCAUCGUCUCUUCCUUUUUCGUUUUCUACGGCGUAGUCACUUCCCUCCUUUUUUAUAGCCCCUCCAUCGCCGCCUUCCCCACCACCACUUGCAAGUUGCAGGCGAAGCCCACCACCCCCAAACCCUAGCAAAGCUCCUCGCCACCUUCGCCUCGCUUCUACCCCAUGGCGCGCCUCCACCUCGUGGUCGUGGCCAUGGCCAUGGNNNNNNNNNNNNNNNNNNNNNNNNNNNNNNNNCAGCCGUCGCCGCGUUCUACUGAGAUCCGAUCCCCGCCCGGAGAUGAGAUAUCGCCGCCGCCGCCGCCAUUACUGCCGUUAAUUUAUUGUCAUUAUUUAGUAGCUAUUUCACCCUCGCGCUUUGGGCUGUUCGUCCCAUCGCGUUUUAAUCUAGAUCUAGCUUUUGUGAGUGAGAGAGACUGUGCUUGCCCUUGUAUAAUUACCCAUCGGAUGGAUUCUUUUUUUAGUUCCAGACAUUAUUAGUAGAAUUUUGUUACUCGAAUGCUUCUGCUAUGCUUGAUCCGUGCAGAUCUGAAGCAUCAGCUCAUAGGAUCUGCUCAGAUUUUCUCAUCCACUGCAUUACUGUAGCACAUUCUAGUUUGCUCUAUUCUGGGUUCUACUACGGUGGCCAGCUGGGGAGCACGACAUGGGAGGGGAUGGAUGCGUGUGAUGGAGACCGGAGAGGCGUCCGGUGCUCUGGUGCCGGGG